AGGAAAAGCCUCUAAGCAUCAGGUAACAUCAAAUCGUACCCCAAACCGACACAGGUGGUCAGGUAGAGAAUACCAAGGCGCUUGAGAGAACUCGGGUGAAGGAACUAGGCAAAAUGGUGCCGUAACUUCGGGAGAAGGCACGCUGGUGUGUAGGUGAAGUCCCUGCGGAUGGAGCUGAGACCAGUCGAAGAUACCAGCUGGCUGCAACUGUUUAUUAAAAACACAGCACUGUGCAAACACGAAAGUGGACGUAUACGGUGUGACGCCUGCCCGGUGCCGGAAGGUUAAUUGAUGGGGUUAUCCGUAAGGAGAAGCUCUUGAUCGAAGCCCCGGUAAACGGCGGCCGUAACUAUAACGGUCCUAAGGUAGCGAAAUUCCUUGUCGGGUAAGUUCCGACCUGCACGAAUGGCGUAAUGAUGGCCAGGCUGUCUCCACCCGAGACUCAGUGAAAUUGAACUCGCUGUGAAGAUGCAGUGUACCCGCGGCAAGACGGAAAGACCCCGUGAACCUUUACUAUAGCUUGACACUGAACAUUGAGCCUUGAUGUGUAGGAUAGGUGGGAGGCUUUGAAGCGUGGACGCCAGUCUGCGUGGAGCCAACCUUGAAAUACCACCCUUUAAUGUUUGAUGUUCUAACGUUGGCCCCUGACCGGGGUUGCGGACAGUGUCUGGUGGGUAGUUUGACUGGGGCGGUCUCCUCCCAAAGCGUAACGGAGGAGCACGAAGGUUAGCUAAUCCUGGUCGGACAUCAGGAGGUUAGUGCAAUGGCAUAAGCUAGCUUGACUGCGAGCGUGACGGCGCGAGCAGGUGCGAAAGCAGGUCAUAGUGAUCCGGUGGUUCUGAAUGGAAGGGCCAUCGCUCAACGGAUAAAAGGUACUCCGGGGAUAACAGGCUGAUACCGCCCAAGAGUUCAUAUCGACGGCGGUGUUUGGCACCUCGAUGUCGGCUCAUCACAUCCUGGGGCUGAAGUAGGUCCCAAGGGUAUGGCUGUUCGCCAUUUAAAGUGGUACGCGAGCUGGGUUUAGAACGUCGUGAGACAGUUCGGUCCCUAUCUGCCGUGGGCGCUGGAGAAUUGAGGGGGGCUGCUCCUAGUACGAGAGGACCGGAGUGGACGCAUCACUGGUGUUCGGGUUGUCAUGCCAAUGGCACUGCCCGGUAGCUAAAUGCGGAAGAGAUAAGUGCUGAAAGCAUCUAAGCACGAAACUUGCCCCGAGAUGAGUUCUCCCUGAGACUAUAAGUCUCCUGAAGGAACGUUGAAGACGACGACGUUGAUAGGCCGGGUGUGUAAGCGCAGCGAUGCGUUGAGCUAACCGGUACUAAUGAACCGUGAGGCUUAACCUU
rnacentral:rRNA from 1 species